rnacentral:rRNA from 1 species
UACCAGCUCUCCGAGUGGUGUGGAUGUUUAUUGGGCCUAAAGCAUCCGUAGCUGGCUGGGCAAGUCCCCUGUUAAAUCCACCGAUUCAAUCGUUGGAGUGCGGGGGAUACUGCUCGGCUAGGGGACGGGAGAGGCCGACGGUAUUUUCGGGGUAGGGGUGAAAUCCUAUAAUCCCGGAAAGACCACCAGUGGCGAAGGCUGUCGGCUAGAACGCGCCCGACGGUGAGGGAUGAAAGCUGGGGGAGCGAACCGGAUUAGAUACCCGGGUAGUCCCAGCUGUAAACGAUGCAGGCUAGGUGUUUGGGCGGCCACGUGCCGCUCUAGUGCCGCAGGGAAGUCGUUAAGCCUGCCGCCUGGGGAGUACGGCCGCAAGGCUGAAACUUAAAGGAAUUGGCGGGGGAGCACCACAAGGGGUGAAGCUUGCGGUUU